UCCGGUUUGUCACCGGCGGUCUCCUUAGAGUUCCCACCAUUACGUGCUGGCAACUAAGGACAAGGGUUGCGCUCGUUGCGGGACUUAACCCAACAUCUCACGACACGAGCUGACGACAGCCAUGCAGCACCUGUGUUCGAGUUCCCGAAGGCACCAAUCCAUCUCUGGAAAGUUCUCGACAUGUCAAGGCCAGGUAAGGUUCUUCGCGUUGCAUCGAAUUAAACCACAUACUCCACCGCUUGUGCGGGCCCCCGUCAAUUCCUUUGAGUUUCAGUCUUGCGGCCGUACUCCCCAGGCGGAACACUUAACGCGUUGGCUGCGGCACAGAAGGGGUCGAUUCCUCCUACAGCAAAUGCGCACCGUUUAGGGCCGGGACUAC
rnacentral:misc_RNA from 1 species